UCUUCUCCUCGUCUCUCUCUCCCUGCAACUUUGACUACUCCAUCACGAUUUGAUUCCGAGCACCACUCCAUCAAGGCCAAAGUUCGUCGCGAUGAGGAGCGAGAUCUGAUCUUCUACCCUCUUGACGAGCGAGCGAAACCAAGAUCCGAGCAAUCCGAGCAAAGACUCUUCCUCUGCCUCCCCUCUCUCUCUCUCUCUCUAGAACGGCAUCCCUCGCUUUCUCUCUCUUCCUGCCUUGGUGGGUUCCUCGCUCUUCUUCUUGCUGGCUGAGCCGCCGGUUGUCCAGGCUUCGAGGAAGGCGAGCAAAGACUCUUCCUCUGCCUCCCCCCCCUCUCUCUCUCUCUCUCUCUCUAGAACUGCAUCCCUCGCUUUCGCUCUCUUCCUGCCUUGGUGGGUUCCUCGCUCUUCUUCUUGCUGGCUGACCUGCUGGUCGUCCAGGUAUGGAUCUUUCUUUCUGUGCUUGCUUGUUUGGUUCAUGCGUCAAAAUCAAGAUCGCUUGUGGUUUCGGUUUAUCGCGUGAAGAUCUGAGUUUGAGCGCUCCGGCGUUGGUUUUGGUACUUUUCGAGGCUGCCCAUGAUCGAUCGCCUCCUUGUUUUUUGGUGGAAUCGGGUGUCGCGACUGCGCGUAUGUCGAGGCAGUGGUUGUUUAAUCUUUUCGGUUGAUGAAUUCAAUUCGUUCAGCGGGGAACGUUCUGGGUUUUGCUUUCUGAAAGGGUGAUAUGUAUAGGUCCUCCUCUUGCGAAUCGACGGCGGCGACGGCUUUGCUUCCUGUUCUUGCGACGGCGACGGCUCUACUUCCUGCUCCUGCAACCGACCUUCUGACCCAACUGAAGGAACUCAAGGCCGAGCUCGCCGGACAUGGCACGUUUACGUGAUGAAAUAGCCAUAAGUUUACAAAGCCGUUGAUGUUUGUAAUACUUAUUAUGACGUAUUUCUUUUUUCUUUUUUUGGACAUAUAUGACAAUGUUUAAUAUCAUGAAAUGACUAUUUAUAGUCAA